GAUAAACGCUGGCGGCGUGCCUAAUACAUGCAAGUCGAUCGAGAGCGGAGCAAUCCGCGAAAGAGGCGAACGGGUGAGUAAUACAUAAGCAACCUGGCCACAAAGACGGGGAUAACACCUGGAAACGGGCGCUAAUACCGGAUAAGUGAAGGUGGGGCAUCCCACCAUCAUAAAAGGGAGAGAAACGCGAGUGGAUGGGCUUAUGGUGCAUUAGUUAGUUGGCGGGAUAAAGGCCCACCAAGACGAUGAUGCAUAGCCGGACUGAGAGGUUGAACGGCCACAUUGGGACUGAGACACGGCCCAGACUCCUACGGGAGGCAGCAGUAGGGAAUUUUCGGCAAUGGGGGGAACCCUGACCGAGCAACGCCGCGUGAGUGAAGAAGUUUUUCGGAAUGUAAAGCUCUGUUGUAAGGGAAGAAGAGAUAUGGAGGACCAUAUUGUGACGGUACCUUA
rnacentral:rRNA from 1 species